rnacentral:tRNA from 1 species
GGAGGAGUGCCGGAGCGGUUGAUCGGGACAGUCUUGAAAACUGUUAUCUCGCUUUGCGGGAUCAGAGGUUCGAAUCCUCUCUCCUCCG